rnacentral:tRNA from 1 species
AGGAAGGUGGCUCAGUGGUAGAGUGCUUGCCUUGCAUGUAUGAGAUUCUGGGUUUGAUUCCUCAGCCCUA